UGGAGACGUCCCCACUCCGGCCCCCGGCAAGACAGAUGGGGGCACCGUGACGGCUGGGGAUGGAGUCAGGGCACAGACUUCCUCACAGGUCUGCAGCCAUGGAGGCGGCACACAGCAGGGGAAGCAGCUAGUUGGCUGCUGCCCUGGCCCCAGGGGUCUGACCCAGGCCCGAGGUCUUGCUUCUGCCAUCCACUUCUGAUGAUCUUGGGUCAGAUUCUUUCUUCUCCAGGCCCAGGGUUUCAGGCUUCUGGGUUUUAUUACCAGGGAGCCCGCCCAGCAUACCACAUUCCACGCUGUGACAUGAGGUGAUGAGCCGGGGACUUGCACAGAAGUUUUGCAGAGACAGAGAGGAGCGUCUGCUGAGUAGGGCUUGUACUCAGUGAAGAGGGAUGGACAUAGCCUGCCCUGCAGGAGCACAGAGUCCAGAAAAAGGACCACAGGAGGAACAUGGUCAAAAUGGAAGCGUGUCAAUCUAACAGCUGCAGCAGCCUACUCAAGAUGCAGAAUCAAGGGCUUGGAAGAUGAGCAGAAGUGUGUGAUGGAAAUGCCUCUGUGAGGGCAAGACUUCGGCAGUGUAGUGGCACAGACCAUGCCUCCAGAACCCUGGAACCAUGGGACAGCUAGAGCAAUUUGAGCAGAGACACCAAAAUUAACUGCCCACGGGGAAGCCAGGUGAGAACACAAGUGCCUAUGAUGUGGGCAAAGAUGGGGAUGGGUGUCAGCCAGAACAGGUGCAGGGAAGGUACUCAGCAGUCAUUUUCCAAGUUCCAGGUCUGCCUUGGUGCAGCGGGUCUCCUGGGGCCUCAUUACAACAGUCAGCACAGAGCACACACAUGACGCCCUCCCAAGGCCUCUCCUUCCUCGGGGAGUCUGCAGAGUUCCUUUCCUGUCUGGAACAAGGAACAGGGGAGUUAGGGUGGAGUGAGAGGAGGAUGUGGGGACCUGGAUUUCUAGGAAUUAAUUAGUGCCCUUCUAUGAGAUUCGGUUCCCCUCUGGAGGCCAAUUAGGGCAUCU
ensembl:lncRNA